CCAUUUUCCUCUCUCUCUCUCUCUCUCUCUCAGCCUCCGUCUAUUACAUAGUGAAAUUUCACCUUCGCUGUCCACCUUUAGAACCCUGAAGCCUAAAGGGGUGAGGUCAGACCUGCCGCGGUAACAGUUAACAACGAGUGGAUCAUUACGAAUGUACAGUAUAUACCUAAAGCGGCGGGGGAUCCAGCGCAACACUCUAAGGAGAAGGGGGGACCCUGUAAUGGCAAGAUUUUAAUAAUAUUCUAAUCACCCAUAAGCAAACGCGUUUAAUUUGAACGAAGAGUUAAUUCUAAGAUGUGAAGUUCUCCCUUAGAUAUUCUUUUUUAUUCAGUAUUUGGAGUUUGUAUUUUCUUGCAAAAAUCAUCAUUAAAACCAACCUGUAGUAUCGUAAAAUAUUCACCUUCACCAAAAAUAUUGUUUCCAGAAUGAUCGCUUGUGUUACAUCAUAAACUAUACGUAUUAUUUGCUUUCGUGUAAUAUGAUGUCAGCUGUAGUGUCCGUGGGAUUAUCCUAUAUACUUUUCAGAACUCAUAAUUUUCCUUCAUUUUGUAAUCGCUUGCUCUAGCUUGCAGUGUUUUUCCGGUAUCAUCCAACUGAAAAUUUGAUACAAAAUUCCCGGUAGGCAUCUCACACUUAAACUUCCCUGCCAAUAUAAGUAAGGCCACGCGACGCUUGCUUGAGUUAGUUGAAUGCCUUCAGUAACGACGGUCAGCAUUCCCUCACUUCUCCAAUACUACAAUCACAUAAGAAGAACCUCGAGCUGUUGCUGUUAAGAAGAUUUAGGAUGAAUAUAAAGGUGGUGUUGUUGGUGUUGGUGACGUUUGUGUGGGUGGCGUUGGGGGCACCAAAUGUCAUCAAAACACCAAGAGACUUCCCAGGACAAAGACGCCUUGGGAGGACGAAUUACGGCACUCACAGCUUCGGCAGUACUGGCUACAGCAGAUAUCCUAUCGCGAGGAGCUCAAGAAGACGAAACUUCGGUUAGCCUGUGUGGGUGUCGCUCCUGAAGGUAUAAGUCGUCCAGUCGAAGAUUAUUCUUCCUUCUAUACUUGACCUUCCCAGCUACCAACCACCCUAAAUACCAACCAUCCCAGCUAUCAACUAACCCAGCUACCAUCUACCCCAGCUACCAACCAUCCCAGCUACCAACCAUCCCAGCUACCAACCAUCCCAGCUACCAACUAUCCCAGCUACCAACCACCCCAGUUACCAACCACCCCAGCUACCUACCAUCCGAGCUACCUACCACCCCAGCUACCAACCAACCACCACAGCUACCAACCACCGCAGCUACCAACCACCGCAGCUAGCAGCCAUCCCAGCUACCAACUAUCCCAGCUACAACCACCCCAACUACCAACUAUCCCAGCUAUCAACUAUCCCAGCUACCAACUAUCCCAGCUACCUACCAUCCCAGUUACCAACUAUCCCUAACUACCUACCACCCCAGCUACCAACCUCCCAGCUACCUAUCAUCCACUCAACAACUGUCUAAUAUAGGCUAUAUCCGUCCGGCCAAAUUUUCGAUGGUUUUCAAAUAUGAUGCCAAUUCUAUCCACCACACGUCUUUGCCGGUGCAAAGUAGGCAAGUAUCUCAGCUAUACAGAAUUACAUGUACUUGCUCUAUCUUCACGUGAUAUUAUAAUAUAUAUUAUAUAUAUAUAUGUGUGUGUAUGUGUGUGUGUGUGUGUGUGUGUUAUACAACUUUCACAUUUUCUGUCAUAUGAUCCUUCAUUUCAGUUAAAGAUAUUUGAAAAGGUUUGGUGUAAUACAGUAGAUAUUACCUUCAUAGUUAUGAUUAUUGUAUAUCAGUUAUCUACUAGUUGCAUGUUAAAAGAGAAUGUUAAAACUUGGCAGUACUAUUUUAUAACCUUUAACAAGAGCCUUUUCACCAGAAAAUCCCAAUACUUUUUAUUUUAUGCAGUAUUGUUUUCAGGCAUUUUUGUAUAGUUAAAAGUAUUUACUAUUGACAUCAGAAUAUCUCUUAAUAUCAAGUGCGCUUGGCUUCAAAAUG